UACGUAGGGUGCAAGCGUUGUCCGGAAUUAUUGGGCGUAAAGAGCUCGUAGGCGGUCUGUCGCGUCUGCUGUGAAAACCUCGGGGCUUAACCCCGGGCCUGCAGUGGGUACGGGCAGACUAGAGUGCGGUAGGGGAGACUGGAAUUCCUGGUGUAGCGGUGAAAUGCGCAGAUAUCUGGAGGAACACCGGUGGCGAAGGCGGCAUCCUGGACCGACACUGACGCUGAGGAGCGAAAGCCAGGGGAGCAAACGGG
rnacentral:rRNA from 1 species